UACGGGGGGGGCAAGCGUUGUUCGGAAUUACUGGGCGUAAAGCGUGCGCAGGCGGUGAUGUAAGACAGUUGUGAAAUCCCCGGGCUCAACCUGGGAACUGCAUCUGUGACUGCAUCGCUGGAGUGCGGCAGAGGGGGAUGGAAUUCCGCGUGUAGCAGUGAAAUGCGUAGAUAUGCGGAGGAACACCGAUGGCGAAGGCAGCCCCCUGGGCCUGAAUUGACGCUGAUGCACGAAAGCGUGGGGAGCAAACAGG
rnacentral:rRNA from 1 species